AUGAACGCUAGCUACAGGCUUAACACAUGCAAGUCGAGGGGCAGCAUGGUCUUAGCUUGCUAAGGCCGAUGGCGACCGGCGCACGGGUGAGUAACACGUAUCCAACCUGCCGUCUACUCUUGGACAGCCUUCUGAAAGGAAGAUUAAUACAAGAUGGCAUCAUGAGUUCACAUGUUCACAUGAUUAAAGGUAUUCCGGUAGACGAUGGGGAUGCGUUCCAUUAGAUAGUAGGCGGGGUAACGGCCCACCUAGUCUUCGAUGGAUAGGGGUUCUGAGAGGAAGGUCCCCCACAUUGGAACUGAGACACGGUCCAAACUCCUACGGGAGGCAGCAGUGAGGAAUAUUGGUCAAUGGACGAGAGUCUGAACCAGCCAAGUAGCGUGCAGGAUGACGGCCCUAUGGGUUGUAAACUGCUUUUAUAAGGGAAUAAAGUGAGUCUCGUGAGGCUUUUUGCAUGUACCUUAUGAAUAAGGACCGGCUAAUUCCGUG
rnacentral:rRNA from 1 species